rnacentral:rRNA from 1 species
UACGUAGGGCGCGAGCGUUGUCCGGAAUUAUUGGGCGUAAAGAGCUCGUAGGCGGCCAGUUGCGUCUGCUGUGAAAUCCCGGGGCUCAACCCCGGGCUUGCAGUGGAUACGGGCUGGCUGGAGGCAGGCAGGGGAGAACGGAAUUCCCGGUGUAGCGGUGAAAUGCGCAGAUAUCGGGAGGAACACCGGUGGCGAAGGCGGUUCUCUGGGCAUCUCCUGACGCUGAGGCGCGAAAGCGUGGGUAGCAAACAGG